GACGAACGCUGGCGGCGUGCUUAACACAUGCAAGUCGAGCGGUAAGGCCCUUUCGGGGGUACACGAGCGGCGAACGGGUGAGUAAUACGUGGGUGACCUGCCCUCAGCUCUGGGAUAAGCCUGGGAAACUGGGUCUAAUACUGGAUAUGACUCCACGGUGCAUGUCGUGGGGUGGAAAGCCUUGUGCGGCUGAGGAUGGGCCCGCGGCCUAUCAGCUUGUUGGUGGGGUGANGGCCUACCAAGGCGACGACGGGUAGCCGGCCUGAGAGGGCGGCCGGCCACACUGGGACUGAGACACGGCCCAGACUCCUACGGGAGGCAGCAGUGGGGAAUCUUGCGCAAUGGGCGAAAGCCUGACGCAGCGACGCCGCGUGAGGGAUGACGGCCU
rnacentral:rRNA from 1 species